rnacentral:rRNA from 1 species
UACGUAGGGUGCGAGCGUUGUCCGGAAUUAUUGGGCGUAAAGAGCUCGUAGGCGGUUUGUUGCGUCUAUCGUGAAAACCUGCAGCUUAACUGUGGGCUUGCGGUGGAUACGGGCAGACUUGAGUUCGGUAGGGGUGACUGGAAUUCCUGGUGUAGCGGUGAAAUGCGCAGAUAUCAGGAGGAACACCGGUGGCGAAGGCGGGUCUCUGGGCCGAUACUGACGCUGAGGAGCGAAAGCGUGGGGAGCGAACAGG